AUUGAACGCUGGCGGCAGGCCUAACACAUGCAAGUCGAACGAGUGGCGGACGGGUGAGUAAUGUCUGGGAAACUGCCUGAUGGAGGGGGAUAACUACUGGAACCGGUAGCUAAUACCGCAUACCAUCGGAUGUGCCCCGAUGGGAUUAGCUAGUAGGUGGGGUAAAGGCUCACCUAGGCGACGAUCCCUAGCUGGUCUGAGAGGAGGACCAGCCAAACUGGAACUGAGACACGGUCAAGACGCCGACGGGAGGCAGCAGUGGGGAAUAUGGCACAAUGGGCGCAAGCCUGAUGCAGCCAUGCCGCGUGUAUGAAGAAGGCCUUCGGGUUGGAAAGUACUUUCAGCGGGGAGGCGUUACCCGCAGAAGAAGCACCGGCUAACUCCGUGCCAGCAGCCGCGGUAAUAC
rnacentral:rRNA from 1 species